rnacentral:lncRNA from 1 species
UGCAAAGAGGUUAUGUGAACACAUGCGGAGAUGACUGUGACCUACAAGCCAAGGGAAGAGGACUUAGAAUAAAACCUACCUUGCUGGCACCUUGAUCUUGGACCUUCCAGCCUCUAGAACUUGUCUCACUCUACUGCUCAGGCUGGAGUGCAGUGGUGCCAUCACGGCUUACUGAAGCCUUGACCUCCCAGGCUCAAGUGAUCCUCCCACCUCAGCCUCCUGAGUAGAUGGGACUACAGGUUCCCAAUAACUGUGUGUCACCUUCAACAAGAUCUCUAGCCUCUUUGGGUUUUUCAGCGUUUUCUCCACUGUAACAAGAAUAAUGGCUCUCGCCACUUCUCUGCCUCUAAGGGUGUUGUCAGAAUUAAUGAGACAUCAGGGUGAAAAGCUUUCUACAUUUUUUUCCCCUCAGAGAAUGCUGGA